GGCCCGUGAGGGCAGGGGCUGGUGAGCCCACCUCUGGAGAUUCCGUGGUGGCUGGGUUCGGGGCGCGUUGGAAGCCUGAGUCAGCCACACAAUGGCUAGCCGGGGUCUUGGGUAACGCGUGCGGUGAGGGGACUUGGGCGACCUCGCCCUAAGCUCUGCGCUCCUGGAAGGGGAAAUGGCCAAACGCGCUCUUGCGUCCUGGUGCUUUUCCUGGUUUGGGGAAGGCGGGUGAAUGGCGGAUGGUUGCGGCUCAGAUGGGCCGCGCAGGAUGGUAACCGCUGCCCAGGAAUCCAAGGCAGAGCUUCAAUUAAGUGGCAUCUUAGAGGACCUGAAAUCCAAACUAUUUGAUUAAAUGGACCCUAAACUAUACAUUUGGAGAAAAACAGCUUCUUUUCACAAGGUCUCAGUAAGUGGGAUCUGGAGCUGCCUUGUGUGGUGGACUCCAGCCAGCCUGUCCCACUUCCCUUCUGACCUUCAGUCCCCUUUAAUUGGCCUUUUGGAGUUUGGUUGAAGUGCCAGGAGAGAUGCUUCUAGCAAGAUUUGGAGAAGCAAAGAGACGUAUUCCUGCAGGCCACGAGGAGUGGGUAGAACCUGUGAAGAAACGGCUUAUGAUGAGAAUCAGCCUGCCCACCCAUCUGUCCAUCCAUCCACACAUUUGUCCAUUCACCCAUGCGCCUGCCCACCCACCCAUCCACACAUCCAUCCCCCCAUGCAUUCGUCCUCUUUCUAUCUGUCCAUCACUCAUCUGCACCUGUUAUAUGCCCUAUAACGAAGGGAGAACAUAAAUUGCUUGAUUUGGGAGAUAUUUAAA